rnacentral:rRNA from 1 species
UACGUAGGUGGCGAGCGUUAUUCGGAUUUACUAGGUGUAAAGCACAGGUAGGUGGUUGAGUAAGUUGGAAGUAAAAGCCCCAGAUAAGUCUGGGGACAUCUUUCAAUACUGCUCGGCUUGAGUGUAGGAGGGGAAACCGGAAUUCCAGGUGUAGCGGUGAAAUGCGUAGAUAUCUGGAGGAAUACCGAUGGCGAAAGCGGGUUUCUGGCCUAUUACUGACACUGAUCUGUGAAGGCGCGGGGAGC